AGAUAGAGGAUGCGCUUAAUCAAGAGUAGCCCCUUGCAAGCUUUGCAGAGUGCGAGGGAUGAAAGGGAUUGGCGCCGAGGUGGGAACCUGCUGCAAAAGGUUUCUUGCCGGGCGUAUGGAUAAGAUCCAUGCGACUGUCGCAAAGAGAAAAAAGAAUUUGCGGAGCGCUAUC
rnacentral:ncRNA from 1 species